GGGGUUGUUGCCUAGUGGUAAAGCGUCGGACUCACGACUUGAAGGUCGGAGGUUCGACUCCCGAUCCCC
rfam:Macrostomum lignano unitig_41415, whole genome shotgun sequence.